UGGGGAAUAUUGGACAAUGGGCGAAAGCCUGAUCCAGCCAUGCCGCGUGUGUGAAGAAGGUCUUCGGAUUGUAAAGCACUUUAAGUUGGGAGGAAGGGCCAUUACCUAAUACGUGAUGGUUUUGACGUUACCGACAGAAUAAGCACCGGCUAACUCUGUGCCAGCAGCCGCGGUAAUACAGAGGGUGCGAGCGUUAAUCGGAAUUACUGGGCGUAAAGGGCGCGUAGGCGGUCGAGUAAGUCGGAUGUGAAAUCCCCGGGCUUAACCUGGGAAUUGCAUUCGAUACUGCUUGGCUAGAGUGUGGAAGAGGGAAGCGGAAUUUCCGGUGUAGCGGUGAAAUGCGUAGAUAUCGGAAGGAACACCAGUGGCGAAGGCGGCUUCCUGGUCCAACACUGACGCUGAGGCGCGAAAGCUUGGGGAGCAAACAGGAUUAGAUACCCAGGUAGUCCCUGAGCGGGCUGGCAAGGCGCAU
rnacentral:rRNA from 1 species